UACGAAGGGUGCAAGCGUUACUCGGAAUUACUGGGCGUAAAGCGUGCGUAGGUGGUUUGUUAAGUCUGCUGCGAAAGCCCCGGGCUCAACCUGGGAAUGGCAGUGGAUACUGGCAAGCUAGAGUGCGGUAGAGGGGUGUGGAAUUCCGCGUGUAGCAGUGAAAUGCGUAGAGAUGCGGAGGAACACCGAUGGCGAAGGCAGCCCCCUGGGCUAGCACUGACGCUCAGGCACGAAAGCGUGGGGAGCAAACAGG
rnacentral:rRNA from 1 species